GCGAACGUUAGCGGCGGGCUUAACACAUGCAAGUCGAACGAGAAAGGGUCCUUCGGGGCCUGAGUAAAGUGGCGCACGGGUGAGUAACACGCGGAUAAUCUACCCUCUGGUGGGGGACAACAGCUGGAAACGGCUGCUAAUACCGCAUGAGUCCUGAUGGUCUGCGGGCUGUCAGGAGAAAGGCUUCGGUCGCCAGAGGAUGAGUCCGCGUCCCAUCAGCUAGUUGGUGAGGUAAUGGCUCACCAAGGCUUAGACGGGUAGCUGGUCUGAGAGGAUGAUCAGCCACACUGGGACUGAGACACGGCCCAGACUCCUACGGGAGGCAGCAGUGGGGAAUAUUGGACAAUGGGCGAAAGCCUGAUCCAGCCACGCCGCGUGUGUGAUGAAGGCCUUCGGGUCGUAAAGCACUGUGGAGAGGGAAGAACUCAAUGACGGUACCUCUUUAGCAAGCACCGGCUAACUCCGU
rnacentral:rRNA from 1 species